UGGACCUAUGUUUCAAUUCUGUGAGAUUCCUCUCGUGUCUAUCGGUUUCGUUCCUCAACAACACCGUAUUUGUAUCUCUAACAUGUAUUAACACCUUACAUUCUAUAUUGCAGGUGAAACUCCCCUUUAUCAAUUGCUGUGUUUUAUAUUGUGAUACCCGUGUCUUUAAAUUAUCCCUUGCAUAAAUAGGUUUUCCUUUCCACUCUUAUACUUCAUAUCCUUCAUCUCGUAUGUAUAUCUACAUGUGAAUACUGCUCUUUCUCUAUUUGUAAUUAUUUUUAAAAUUUGUGAACUUUGUAUCUUAG